CCCAAGUAUAAAUAGUUGCGGAAGUAAGUAAAUAGCGUCUUUAUUUAUAUGCUAUUACCAAUACGGUUGCUAUUACUACAUAGAAUCCGGUGUCACAAUCCACGAACAAACAAUGAUAUUCUACAAGUAUCGGUCUGAAAGAAAUUACAACUGCCUUAGAAAUAGAGAAACUCCAAAAUGGAGAUGUAGAAGGGGAUGCCAGGGCCUACACACGCCAACAUGACUACCUUGGUUCUUCUAACUGUGUAAUCUGAAGCCAAUCUCUUAAUCAGCCACUACCAGCUCCAAAAUAUGCAUAGAAAGUGCAAAAUGCAGUAUCAGUACAACCGAACUCAUAUACUGGUAAGUGUCGAGCCUAACCUCGACGAGGUAAUGACGAGACUACGGUGGGGCAAUUACAAUAUAACCUGCAUACAGUGUAUAAUAAAAGCAAAAAAAAAAAGGACAUGAUUAAAUAAAGCAAAUAACUUGCAAGGAAUGAAUACAGAACUCAAAUGUCUUAUCAGUAUCAAUCUAUCACCAAUUCUUAUGUGAAAUGCAAAGGUCCCGUAUAACUACACAAUAGAAGAAAGUUACAUAAAUACAUAAAAUGAUGCAGUGAGCAUCCCGAUCCCACCAUGUAUUAAUUCAAUAGGAAUAUUCACAUUACACUAUAUCAAUCAACCCUUGUUCCUCUUGUUGCGGCGUGCAACCCGAUCUCACCAUAUAAUAGAAUUUCACCCUUAUUCCUCCUGAGUUGUAAAACUUGAUCAGUCGUUUUAAGCAUUUGUAUUUCACUCGGUUGUUUGAGGGCAUGUGUAGCCCCAUAUGAUAUAUUAUGACUUAUUUAAAUCGUCGAUUUUGAUUUUCAGGUUAAUCAAAAUAGAUAUGGAGGAAGGAUUCUCACCUUGAACUUUAAAUUUGGAAGAUUUGACCAAGGUUUCACUAUUGAGUAAUCGAUCCUGGAUUUGGAUAUUUAUGGUUAGGUUAGCUCUGUUAGGUGAUUUUGGACUUAGGAGCGUGUCCGAAAUGUAAUUUGGAGGUCUGUGGUAGAAUUACGCUCGAAUUGGCGAAAUUGGAAAUUUGGUGAUUUCUAGUCGACAAUGGAAAAUUUGAUAUCAGAGUUGAAAUAGAUUCUGAGAGUUAUAAUUGGUUUGUGGUGUCAUUUUUGACGUGUUUGAAAAAAUUGAUGUCAUUCGGACGAGGUUUGAUAGGUUUUAGCAUCAAUUGUGAAUGUUUGAUGUUUCAAGUCCAUUAAGGUUGAAUUGGUGUUCGAUUCAUGUUUUUGUUAUUGUUUUAUGUUAUUCGAGAGCUCGAUUGUGUUGGUAUGGUAUUUUAGGACUUGAUGGUAUCUUUGGUUGAGGUUUCGGAGGCCUCGGGUGUGUUUCAGGUGUGUUUUGAGAGAGUUCGGGCAUUACCAGAACUCAUGCAUGGUUUUGGUGCUUAAUUUUCACAGAUGAAGGCAAAAUUGCCGGGGGCGGAGGUGGGAGUGAGAACCUUGUAAAUUUGGCCGCGGAGCCACUCCAUGGAAGAUCUUAGAGAGUGCACUAUAUAAAUUCGGUUUAGGGCAUUAUUUCACAUUUUGGACCUAGGGAGCUUGGUUUGUGGCGCUAUUUUGAGGGUAUAUUAAGAAUUUCAUCGGGGUAAUGAUUCUUUCAGGGAAUUGGUUAAUGUUCAUGAAUAUAUCAAUGAUUUCAUCAUUUGAUUAGUACUUUAAGGCGAAAAUUUGGGGAAAAUUGUGGAAAUUUCAUAAAAUAAAUUUUUGAGAUUUAAAUGUCAAUUUGGAUUUGGAUUUGAGUGAAACUAGUAUGGUUAGUCUCGUAAUCGAAUGGUUUCUCAUAUUUUGUGACUUUGGUCAGAUUUUGGGAUUUGGGCCCGAGGCCCGACUUUUGAGUUGACUUUUUAACUUUUGGUCUUAAGCUAACCAUUUUCUUAUGGGAUUGAUUCCUUUAGCUCGUGUUGAUUGUAUCAAAUUGUUUAUGGUUAGAUUCGGAGCAUCCAGAGUUCGAUUUGGAAAGCAAAGGCAUAGCGGAGUAGGAGUUUUCUUGGUCGGAGAUAAGUAUAGCUUUCAAACUUUAUUCUGAGGGUUCGCAACCUCGAACUAUGUACCAUAUGAUGGUAUUGAGGUGACACACAUGCCAAGUGGUGGGCAUGUGGGCAUGCAUCGUGUGAAUUGUGACAUGGUUCAUUCCAUGGCACCGAUUACUAAUUAUAUAUUGUUGAUAUCUCUGUUUCUUCAUGUGAUGAAGUAAAUAGACUGUAAAUCAUGCUAGGGCUUUACACCGAUACUGUUGCGAUCCCUAGUGGUCGUUUCUUGCUGUCAUCUCACUGAUGUCAUUGAUUUUCUGUACUUACUCAUAUUCUUGUAUUUCAUAUCACAUCUCAGUCUCAGCUAUUUUUUAUUUGCACAUCAUAUCAUUGUUUCGGGCUAGUUUUUAUGGUAUUGUGAGCCUGCGGGGGAGAUUGGAUAGUGAUUCCUUAGUGAGGCUGAGAGCCUGAUGAUGAGUGACAGUUAUGGGUCGGGCUACAUGCCACAGUGAAUUAUUGAUAUAUGCCUUCAUUAGCUUGUGAUAGAACUUGGGCUGAAGGAGCCCCUCUAGAGUCUAUAACACACCCCCAAUAAGCGCGGUUGAUUAUAUUUACGGAUGGAUCUUCUCCAUAAAGUUGUAUUGGCAUGUUCUUCGGUACUGGAGAUUGAUGGUUUUUGAUGUAUAUAUAUUGUGGGAUGGAUAUUCCUUGGGCCUUGUGAGCCAUAUAUAAUACCGAGUGGUUGUGAGGUUGUAAUUAUUAUUAUCCUGAGAUGGAUCUUCCCCAUAAGCUGGAUUGGCCUUCCUCAGUACUGAAUGACUGCUGUCAGAGAUGUAUUUAUUCCGGGAUAGAUCUUUCCUGGAUCGUAUGAGCUAUGUACAGUACUGAGUGGACGAGCAUUUGAAACUAUGGGCACAUAACACUCAGCCUGGUGCAUUUCAUACAGCAUGUGCAUUGACAUGUAGAUGUAGCAGAGUUACACUUCUUUACCUUGUUCAUACCUGCUAUGUUUUACUGUUCGAGCUGUUUAUUUAACUGAAAUCAUGCCUACGUUUUUGUACAUUAUUUCUAUUAUUUUUUAUGAGGUUGAGUUUGUUACUACCUAUAAAUCUAUAGGUUGGACUUGCUACUUACUGAGUUGGUAUACUCGCGUUACCCCCUACACCUUGUAUGUAGAUCCAGGUACUUUCGGCCACAGAGGUAGUCAUUGAUCGAGGUUGCAAGCUUGGGAGAUUAUUGAGGUAUCUGCAAGGCCGUCGCAGAUCUUGACCCUCCAUCUCUAUUCUAGUAGUGUUUCAAUUGUAUUCAGUAAACAUUGUAGUAGACUAUGUUAUUUCUCUAGACGCUCAUAUACUCUGUGACACCCUGGUUUUGGGCUUGUUGAAUCGUGUUAUGGUUUUUGCUUAUGUUAUGAACAGUCUAUUUUCUUAAAUGAUAAAAGUACUAUUCGCAAAUAUUCCAAAUAUUAGUAUUGUGGUUGGUUUAUUUUUCAUUGAGUUGAGGCUAGCUUAGUUCCACGAUAGGCUCCAUUACGACGUGUUGGGGUUUGUGUCGUGACAAGUUGGUAUCAGAGCCUAGGUUACAUGGGUCUCACGGGUCAUUAUCGAGUUUAGUAGUCUUGCAGAUUGGUACAGAUACGUCUGUACUUAACUUUGAGCGGCUACAUAACCUUUAGGAAACUUCACAUUCUUGAUUUCUUAUCGUGCGACAUUGAUUCAGCUUGAAGUGUAACCCUUUGAAUUCCUUCCACGCAUUCGUAUAUGCACUUGAGCGCUCGGUAUCAACUGUGCAUCGACGGCUUGUGAGUUACAUAGUUGAGGUACGAGAUGUAAUUUUGGCAUGUCAAUGAUGGGCCUUUCUGGAGGACUUGAGGUCCGGUUUUGACUGUAGCUUGAGCACUAAGGUGUUGGUUGUGUGAGUAUGUUCUUUUAGAUUAAUAGGUCCUUAUUGGUGGAGUUUGUGGUUGGAUGGCUACGUGAUGGGUAUGAAUUGAUUGCUAGAUGUAUUUCGAUUGUUUGAAUGUGGAAAGAGAGUUUGUUAGGGAUGUAGCAAGGACUAUUGGGUGUUUGACUUCUGUCUUGAGUUGGCGAAGGACCUCUCAGGAAGAUUAAGUGAUUGCGUACUGUUUAUGACGGUAGAAGGGUAUAAAGAGAUGUUCGUUUGAGGCGAAGCAGGUGGCUUAUCUCCCACGGAGUGUUCUGAAGUUUGUGUGAUCCUUAUGUUGUGUUAGAAAUCCUCUUUUGCCAGUGAAAUAUACGUAUUGAAAUUUGAGUUUGGAUCGCUUAUGAGAGUGGGCUUGUCUGUUACGAGGAUGAAUGCAAGAUUUGCAAAUGAUUUGUAUUGUACGAGCUUAUGAAGGAUUUAGUUUAAUCUCACUAUGAUAUUAUGACAGUAAUAAAGUAUGGGCAUCAUGAGUUUCUAUCUGUUUUAAUCUAUGGCUUUGAGCAAUGUGGGGAAGUCUGCUACUAAUCAAUUGAUUGCAUAAUUAUGUCUUGUAUUGCUAGGUAUACUGGUUAAUCAGUUGUGGCUUAUAGAGGUUGAGGUGAAGGAUGACUCAAGUAAAGGAAAUUUUGGAUAAGGGUUUUGUUAUGCUUUAUGGGUAUAUGAAAAACAUUAAAUGAUUUAGUUAUUGUUUGAAUGGAUGUAACGUGUAUGGAGUAAGAAAUCCCUCGGCUAUUUAGAAGGAUGUGUUACUUCCUUAGGUGUUGUUGUACUAAUGGGGCACAAGUCGUUCGGUUCAUUUGAUCAGUUUAAUUAAAACUUGAGUAGAGUGGAUGACCCCCGAGAAUGGUUUUAAUGGAUUCAAGAUUAUAUGUAAUAAUUUGGGAUAUUUAAGAUGUGUAUUUGCAUCGAAUUUGAGGGUUACCUUGGAGGGUGUCAAGACUUGUGGCACUUCUAUAUCAUUAUUGAUUCUACAUAUCAGUAUUAGUAACGUGAAGGUAAUGGAUUUAGAUUUUGAGGAAGUCUUUUCAGGUUGCGUACUUUGAAUGUGGUACUUUUGGGGAUGUUUAAGAGGGUUUCAGUGGCUUAUGAGUCUUAGGGUGGUGUGGUUUAAUGCUUGGGUCCAGUGGGGUGAGUCUACGUUGAGGAUGUGGAUUUAUGUCAAGGAGAAGUACUAAUUUAUGUGGCUUGAUGAGGGUAUAUAUUUCAGAAAGGCAAUGUGUUUGAGUUAUCGAUGCUUUAUUAGUAUUGGCGCACUCUCUUGUUUGGUCAGCUACCGGAGUUCAAAUUUUGCAUUGUGGCACAGAAGAAUUUUAGAAGUAUUCCUCGUGGGGUGAUUAUGUAAUUUGAGGAGUGUGGGCAUCCAGGUGGUAGAGUUGAGAUCGAGCAUGGUGAUUCAUGCGGUUUAUGGAUUUGGGGACUAGGAGUUAUCACAAAUAGGUUAUGUCGUGGUUGUGAACUACAAAGAUGUGGGCAAAGCUAGUCAGAUGAUAGUAUGUGCCAUGAUGUAGUCAUUGUGAACUUUCGGAGAGUUAUUUAUCUAUUGUGGGUGACUAGAGUUGAUUUGGGUUUACUAGUAGGCUAAUAUGGAUGUGUGUUCUACAUCGAGCCGGAUUUGUCGACUCCAAAUUGCUAUUGUUGAGGGAUGUGUCAUUUGAUUGUUAUUGAGCUUAUUCGAGUUCUGGAGUGAUAUAUCAGUUGCAUUUCCAUGUUACGACGAGUUAUGAUUUGUCGGUUAUACGCACAUAGUGCGGUUCUAUUAGGGUCUUAUAGCAAAAUUUGAGCGGGAAGAGUAUUGGGUAUUACUCGAUGGAUGGUGUACUGGUUAUAUUCUUUCGGGUUUGUGUGGUGUUAUGUCAUCUGCUUCUCCAUGGUUAUGGUAAUGCACUCAGGGCUCUUGAUUGAAUUCCGAAUCGUAAGGGAUUUUGAGUAGGAUGGCUCGAGGUAUAUAAUGCAGACCAGCAUUUGGAUAGGGUCACGCAUUAUAGCGGAUUUAUAUGGAGGUAUGAUCCGUGUGUUCUGCUCUACGGUGUAUGAUGGGUUCUUAGCAUCGUAUAGAGGUGGUACUGGUGAGCUUGCGGUACAACGCUCUCAUUUGAGUCAUUUUUCAUGAUUCGAGUAUAUUUGGAUUGUUGCUUUGUGGCUUUAGAUGGUAUUGAUGUGUUGUCACACCCCUUUUUUUUACAAAGCCUCACUAACCCCUCUUAAAUAAAUUAAAAAAAAUUUAGUAAAAGCUUGAAAAGGAUUUUCCCAUUAGAACGUGACAAAAAUGGUAUUCAAAAGGAAAAUAACUCAGAGUUGCCACCUGAUAUUUGAUUUCAGUAUGCCAGGUUACCAUUUUAAAAAUGAUUUUUCCUUUUAAAAUGUUUCAGAUCUAAAGAAAAGUUCGCAGCAGAGAUUAGGGUAAAGGGGUUCAUUUGACUCGGGAAGAAGGUGUUAGGUAGUCCCCAAGUCCCGUAACUAGGACGGUUCCGUACUCAAUCUAGUUGACUCUAAAAAUAUUCAAGUUGAGGUGGAAAACACAGAAAAAGGAAAAUUAACACAUAAGAAGCUCGAGGUCGUCCCCAUCUAAAUAAAAGAAAAAGAAAAAUGAAAAUUAAAUACUACAAGUUUCUACUUUUGGCCUCCAUCUAGUGCCCUUAACAAAACAUAACAAAUUUGUAAAUUGGCAGAAGUGAACAACUAAUUUGCCAACAAAAUGAAAGCGAAACAAACACUAUUUAAAACUGAUGAAACCUUGACAGAUGCAUCAAGAAUGCUAACUCUAAAACAUGGAAUGGAAGUAUAUUUCUGGAUGAAGCUAAAUGCUAGGUCUUAAGUGAAAUUCACAUUGAAACAAAAGAAAACCAACAAUAGGCUAAACAUUUUUGCCAAGUUAACAUAUCAAAUACUAUAUUUUAAUUAGAUAGAACAGUAAUACUCCAAUAAAUUUACCAUAAUACUUUAAGCACUUAAAAGGUCUAAACACAAAGAUGUAAAAGGAAAACUACUCAAAAUAGUUCUUAUAACCUCGAGUAGACUGAUUUCUAUUAACACCCAAUUAAAAGCUAAAUAAACUUUUAAUUUCUCAAUCCCCUUUAACUAUGGCUCAAAUCAUAUUUGAAUCCAACCAAAACAAAAGUAAGAAGAGAUGGAACGGACCUCAAAUUUACCCUUGAUUAACAAAAAUUCUGGCAGUUACAAGGAAGUUAAUAAAUCGCAACAGGAAUCGAACUCAAAGCAACAACGAAAAUUGAUUGAAACCACGAACGAACCUCGAUCAGAAACUCGAAUCAGCACAAAAAUUUCGAAUCCAAACUCUAACUUCAAUCAAAUUCUGUCCUUGGAAAUGAAAAUUGAAAUCAGAAAGAAGAAGAAACACAUAUUGUUUUUUGUAUUUUUCUGAGAUUCAAACUAAACAAAAAUCUAAAAAAUGAAAUCAGAAGAUCAAAGGGCUAAACUAAAUUAGUUUUUGUUUUGUAUUUUUCUGGUUCCCAAGAAGACCAAAAAUCAAAUAAAAUUGGUGAUUUUUUUCGAACCUUAAUUUCUUGUCCCUCUCCCGAUCUCUGUCUAAAUGCUCCAAAUAUAUAGGAAGCCUAAAAGUUUCUCCUUCCUUUCUUUCCAAGCAAACCGAAAAAUAUCCUCUUCUUUUCUUUUAAAUCUGGAAAAUCUGAAAAAAUCUCCCAAAAAAAUCGAAAUUCUUCAUUAUAUAGACAAAUUUUAGACAAGUGCGGAUAUAGGAUCAAAGAAUUUUAAUCCUACAGCCUCCAAUUUUCCAAAAAUCGUCUAAAAGAAUUUGGAUUUGUGAUUAAUAGGAAAAAAACAAUGAUGAAGAUUCUAUUGAGUGAAGAUUUUGUUGUGAUUUGGGUGACGUGGGAGGAAUAUGAGAGAGGGGACCAACGAGGGGGGACGAUGAAUGAGAUUGGGGUGGAUUUAUUGUGGGUUUGGGUGUUGCUAAGCGGCAGUAAAGCUUAGAGAUAGCGGGGGUACCGAUUUGGCUAUGGGAAUUAGGUUUAAGGAUUUUUGGGGAAAGUGUUAUGAUGAGCUUUUAUAUGGUGGGGUUGGAGGAUAAGGGUCAUUGGAUUAAAUGUGAUAAAUGGCUACGAUUUAAGGAGGGAGUGGGGCGGGUUGUGGGUCGAUCCGGCAGGUCAAAGGGAAAUUGAGCUCAAGGGAUCUGGGUUGAGUUGGUGGUCUAAGG
rnacentral:lncRNA from 1 species